GACGUAGGGGGCUAGCGUUGUCCGGAAUCAUUGGGCGUAAAGAGCGUGUAGGCGGCCCGGUAAGUCCGCUGUAAAAGUCAAAGGCUCUACCUUGAAUGUCAGUGGAUACUGCCGGGCUAGAGUCCGGAAGAGGCGAGUGGAACUCCUGGUGUAGCGGUGGAAUGCGCAGAUAUCAGGAAGAACACCAACGGCGAAGGCAGCUCGCUGGGACGGUACUGACGCUGAGACGCGAAAGCGUGGGGAGCGAACAGG
rnacentral:rRNA from 1 species